UACGUAGGUGGCAAGCGUUGUCCGGAUUUACUGGGCGUAAAGCGUGCGCAGGCGGUUUUGUAAGACUGUCGUGAAAUCCCCGGGCUUAACCUGGGAAUGGCGAUGGUGACUGCAAGGCUAGAGUUUGGCAGAGGGGGGUAGAAUUCCACGUGUAGCAGUGAAAUGCGUAGAGAUGUGGAGGAACACCGAUGGCGAAGGCAGCCCCCUGGGUCAAAACUGACGCUCAUGCACGAAAGCGUGGGGAGCAAACAGG
rnacentral:rRNA from 1 species